ACUUGAGGUUCCCUCUUCCCAGAUGACCCUGGUGUCAAUCAAGUUGAUGAAAACCUAGCCAGCACAGGGGAGCAAAGAGGUGGGGGACAGGGAGGAGGAGGGAAGAGAGCAAAGAGGAAGUGAGGAGGAAGGCUCCAGUGUGUGGCCCUAGACCCUAUCUCAAACCAAAGGUGUCUUCCUUGGAGAGCUGUUCACCUGAGAUCAGCUGAGGGUUAAGAACAAAGCUGAAAGAAGAAACCAUGGAAAUAAAAAGCUAUGGUGAAGACCAGACACCAGCUUUAAAGCCUGCUGCUUACCCAGGGGAUUCUAAGUCUUCUCAGAGCGCAUUUGUGCUUCUUAAUUUUUACAUAAAAGAGUGAAUAGUUUAUUAUCAAUAUAAA
rnacentral:lncRNA from 1 species